rnacentral:rRNA from 1 species
AUUGAACGCUGGCGGCAUGCCUUACACAUGCAAGUCGAACGGCAGCACGGGUGCUUGCACCUGGUGGCGAGUGGCGAACGGAUGAGUAAUACAUCGGAACAUGUCCUGUAGUGGGGGAUAGCCCGGCGAAAGCCGGAUUAAUACCGCAUACGAUCCACGGAUGAAAGCGGGGGACCUUCGGGCCUCGCGCUAUAGGGUUGGCCGAUGGCUGAUUAGCUAGUUGGUGGGGUAAAGGCCUACCAAGGCGACGAUCAGUAGCUGGUCUGAGAGGACGACCAGCCACACUGGGACUGAGACACGGCCCAGACUCCUACGGGAGGCAGCAGUGUGGAAUGUUGGACAAUGGGCGAAAGCCUGAUCCAGCAAUGCCGCGUGUGUGAAGAAGGCCUUCGGGUUGUAAAGCACUUUUGUCCGGAAAGAAAUCCUUGACUCUAAUACAGUCGGGGGAUGACGGUACCGGAAGAAUAAGCACCGGCUAACUACGUG